UACGUAGGGGGCAAGCGUUGUCCGGAUUUAUUGGGCGUAAAGCGCUCGCAGGUGGCCCCGAUGCGUCGUGCGUGAAAGACCCCGGCUCAACUGGGGGGUGUCGUGCGAUACGGUCGGGCUGGAGGCCAGUAGGGGGAUGCGGAAUUCCGGGUGUAGUGGUGGAAUGCGUAGAGAUCCGGAGGAACACCAGCGGCGAAGGCGGCAUCCUGGACUGGUCCUGACACUCAUGAGCGAAAGCGUGGGGAGCGAUCCGG
rnacentral:rRNA from 1 species